GACGAACGCUGGCGGCGUGCUUAACACAUGCAAGUCGAACGGAAAGGCCCUGCGUUUGUGGGGUGCUCGAGUGGCGAACGGGUGAGUAACACGUGAGUAACCUGCCCUUGACUUUGGGAUAACUUCAGGAAACUGGGGCUAAUACCGGAUAGGAGCUCCUGCUGCAUGGUGGGGGUUGGAAAGUUUCGGCGGUUGGGGAUGGACUCGCGGCUUAUCAGCUUGUUGGUGGGGUAGUGGCUUACCAAGGCUUUGACGGGUAGCCGGCCUGAGAGGGUGACCGGCCACAUUGGGACUGAGAUACGGCCCAGAGUGCUACGGGAGGCAGCAGUGGGGAAUAUUGCACAAUGGGAGGAAGCCUGAUGCAGCAACGCCGCGUGCGGGAUGACGGCCUUCGGGUUGUAAACCGCUUUCGCCUGUGACGAAGCGUGAGUGACGGUAAUGGGUAAAGAAGCACCGGCUAACUACGUG
rnacentral:rRNA from 1 species